rnacentral:rRNA from 1 species
GAUGAACGCUGGCGGCGUGCCUAAUACAUGCAAGUCGAGCGAACAGACGACAAGCUUGCUCCUCUGACGUUAGCGGCGGACGGGUGAGUAACACGUGGAUAACCUACCUAUAAGACUGGGAUAACUUCGGGAAACCGGAGCUAAUACCGGAUAAUAUAUUUAAGCGCAUGGUUCAAUAGUGAAAGACGGUGUUUCUGUCACUUAUCGAUGGAUCCGCGCUGCAUUAGCUAGUUGGUAAGGUAACGGCUUACGAAGGCGACGAUGCGUAGCCGACCUGAGAGGCGGAUCGGCGACCCUGGAACUGAGCCACGGUCCCGACUACUACGGGAGGCAGCAGUAGGGAAUCUGCCGCAAUAGGCGAAAGCCUGACGGAGCAACGCAGAGUGAGAGAUGAAGGUCCUCGGAUCGUAAAACUCUGUUAUUAGGGAAGAACAAAUGUGUAAGUAACUAUGCACGUAUUGACGGUACCUAAUCAGAAAGCCACGGCUAACUACGUG